rnacentral:rRNA from 1 species
GCUGUGUUAAAUGAGCUUGCGUCCUAUUAGCUAGUUGGUGAGGUAAUGGCUCACCAAGGCUACGAUGGGUAGGGGUUCUUAGUGGAAGGUCCCCCACACUGGCACUGAGAUACGGGCCAGACUCCUACGGGAGGCAGCAGUAGGGAAUAUUGGUCAAUGGGCGCAAGCCUGAACCAGCCAUGCCGCGUGCAGGAUGAAGGCUCUCUGAGUUGUAAACUGCUUUUGUACAGGAGCAAAAAAAUCCCUGCGGGGGUUCUUGAGAGUACUGUAAGAAUAAGCACCGGCUAAUUCCGUGCCAGCAGCCGCGGUAAUACGGGAGGUGCAAGCGUUAUCCGGUUUUAUUGGGUUUAAAGGGUGCGUAGGCGGCUUAUUAAGUCAGUUGUGAAAUCCUAGUGCUUAACGCUAGAACUGCGAUUGAUACUAUUAGGCUUGAGUUAAAGAAGAGGU